CCUACGGGAGGCAGCAGUGGGGAAUAUUGGGCAAUGGGCGCAAGCCUGACCCAGCAACGCCGCGUGAAGGAAGAAGGCUUUCGGGUUGUAAACUUCUUUUCUGAGGGACGAAGAAAGUGACGGUACCUCAGGAAUAAGCCACGGCUGACUACGUGCCAGCAGCCGCGGGAAUACGUAGGUGGCAAGCGUUAUCCGGAUUUAUUGGGUGUAAAGGGCGUGUAGGCGGGAAAGCAAGUCAGAUGUGAAAACUCAGGGCUCAACCCUGAGACUGCAUUUGAAACUGUUUUUCUUGAGUACUGGAGAGGCAAUCGGAAUUCCGUGGGUAGCGGUGAAAUGCGUAGAUAUACGGAGGAACACCAGUGGCGAAGGCAGAUUGCUGGACAGUAACUGACGCUGAGGCGCGAAAGCGUGGGGAGCAAACAGGAUUAGAUACCCCGGUAGUC
rnacentral:rRNA from 1 species